UGUUCUCUAAAUAAGGACUAGUAUGAAUGGCAUCACGAGGGCUUAACUGUCUCCCCUCUCUAAUCAAUGAAACUGAUCUUCUCGUGAAGAAGCGAGAAUAAAUAUAUAAGACGAGAAGACCCCAUGGAGCUUCAAACUCAUCACCAAUUACUUUAACCAAACCACUAUAAACAGUAAAAAUGUUCUUGAUAGUUUUCGGCUGGGGUGACCCUGGAGUAAAACAAAUCCUCCAGAAUGAAAGAAUAUAAAGUUCUAAUCUAAGAAUUACAAUUCCAAGAAUCAAAAAUUUGACAUAAUGAUCCAAUUACUUGAUCAACGAACCAAGUUACCCUGGGGAUAACAGCGCAAUCCAUUUUAAGAGCCCCUAUCGACAAAUGGGUUUACGACCUCGAUGUUGGAUCGGGGUAUCCUGGUGGCGCAGCCGCUACCAAUGGUUCGUUUGUUCAACGAUUAAUAACCCCACGUGAUCUGAGUUCAGACCGGA
rnacentral:rRNA from 1 species